UACAGAGGGCGCGAGCGUUGUCCGGAAUCACUGGGCGUAAAGGGCUCGUAGGUGGCCAACUAAGUCAGACGUGAAAUCCCUCGGCUUAACCGGGGAACUGCGUCUGAUACUGAAUGGCUUGAGUUCGGGAGAGGGAUGCGGAAUUCCAGGUGUAGCGGUGAAAUGCGUAGAUAUCGGAAGGAACACCGGUGGCGAAAGCGGCGCGCUGGACCUCUUCUGACGCUGAGGCGCGAAAGCCAGGGGAGCAAACGGG
rnacentral:rRNA from 1 species